rnacentral:rRNA from 1 species
UCCGGUGAUUUACCCGGACGUGACCCACCUCUUCCCAUUCCGAACAGAGAAGUGAAAGCGUCCGAGCCCGAUGAUACUAGGUGCUUCGGUGCCUGGGAAAGUGAGGGUUCGCCGGAG